AUAUACAGCCAUAGCACCCUGAGAAUAUCCGAUCUUGGAAGCUAAGCAGGGUCAGGCCUGGUUGGUACUUGGAUGGGAGACCAGCUGGGAAUCCCGGGUGCUGUGGGCU
rnacentral:rRNA from 1 species